UGUUACAAAGUUUCCAUCAGUCACAUGUCCAAUGUCCUUGACCUCAUUUUCAUGGUUCAGUGACUACUUGAAAAAAAAGUUAAGAUUUUUUUGUAAUGUUAAAUUCUCUCUUAUUAUAAGUAAUAGGAUAACUAUAUUUGGUAUGUGCGUACCUUGCAAGGUCCUCAUGCCCGUCAGACAGUUUUCACUUGACCUCGACCUCAUUUCAUGGAUCAGUGAACAAGGUUAAGUUUUGGUGGUCAAGUCCAUAUCUCAGAUACUAUAAGCAAUAGGUCUCGUAUAUUCGGUGUAUGGAAGGACUGUAAGGUGUACAUGUCCAACUGGCAGGUGUCAUCUGACCUUGACCUCAUUUUCAUGGUUCAGUGGUUAUAGUUAAGUUUUUGUGUUUUGGUCUGUUUUUCUUAUACUGUAUGCAAUAGGUCUACUAUAUUUGGUGUAUGGAAUGAUUGUAAGGUGUACAUGUCUAGCGGGCAGGUGUCAUCUAACCUUGACCUCAUUU